AUGUUUGCUGACCUCGAUCUGGAAGGUGGCGUACUCACAGAUGCAAGAGGCCAAGCGGGCCAGACUCUGGCGCCCGCUGCCCCCAAUGCCCACCAACAGCAUGUUGCCCCGAGGCUGUCCGAUGACCCGCACGAUCCGUGUGACUGGGGGGCGGGAGACGAGGGCGGUGAGGCCUCUGGGACACCCCGGGGGACCACCGGGCCCUACGCUAGAGACCUAGGGACCGGGGUGCCCGAAACUGAAGUACAGGGACCGCGAAGCGGGGGGAGCGGCCGGUGCCUGAGGCCGAGGCAGCGAGUCCACCGCGAGCGCAGCCCUGUCUGCCCGACACCACAUCCUCGUCGUGGAGGAAGAGCCCCACCGUCGCCACUGGCCACCUGGGGCCAGAAAGGAAAGCAGCUCCCGGGACUCGCUCGGGAAGAGCCCACGCCGGGAGCUGGGGCGCGGCCGGGCCGGGUGGAGGAAGUGCUCACUGUGUUCGAUAGCCUCCCGGAAGAGUACCAGCUGCAUGGGGACGACGGCGGGGGACAGGUUGUACUCCCUGAGGGCCGUCUCCAUGGCCGCCUUCAGCGCAGCCAGGUCUGUGAGGUCCUCGUACACCUUGGGCUCCCGCAUGAAGUCCCCUGGGCCGCGGGAAGCGGGCUCAGAUCUCCAUGGCCCGGUCGUGGCCAGGCUCCCCCAGGGACCCCAUGGCCCAGCCCUCCCCCCGGGGGGCCUCCCAACACCCCGCAGCCCGAGGCGGGGGGCGCCAGCUCACCAAAGACGGGAGGACGUUUGUUGGGACAAAGAUUAUGCAACGUGAGGUCAAAGAAGGAGCCAAGUUUGUCGCUGAUGAUGCCCACGAAGGCCUCCAGGUCUGCAGCAUCCACCAGCCGGUCAGAGAAGACUCUGUCGGGAGGGAGUGGGGUGAGGCUGGGGCAUACGGGGGAGGGGGCCCCCUGGGCGGGUGGGGUGGGGGCGGGGCAUACGGAGGAGGAAGGGCCCCCUGGGCCGGUGGUGGCACGGGCGUCGCACCUGAAACACUCAUGGAUCCAGAGUCGUGUGAUGCUGGACUUGGUGUCGUGA
rnacentral:lncRNA from 1 species